AUCCUUCGGUUCAUAAGUGUGAUGAUUGGGUGUGCAAGCUCUUGUGUGAGAUAUGCCUCCCUCUAAGUCUUAUUACGACAUCUGACG
rfam:Ictidomys tridecemlineatus contig000425, whole genome shotgun sequence.